UUUGGAGAGUUUGAUCCUGGCUCAGAUUGAACGCUGGCGGCAGGCCUAACACAUGCAAGUCGAGCGGAAACGAGUUAUCUGAACCUUCGGGGNACGAUAACGGCGUCGAGCGGCGGACGGGUGAGUAAUGCCUAGGAAAUUGCCCUGAUGUGGGGGAUAACCAUUGGAAACGAUGGCUAAUACCGCAUAANGCCUACGGGCCAAAGAGGGGGACCUUCGGGCCUCUCGCGUCAGGAUAUGCCUAGGUGGGAUUAGCUAGUUGGUGAGGUAAUGGCUCACCAAGGCGACGAUCCCUAGCUGGUCUGAGAGGAUGAUCAGCCACACUGGAACUGAGACACGGUCCAGACUCCUACGGGAGGCAGCAGUGGGGAAUAUUGCACAAUGGGCGCAAGCCUGAUGCAGCCAUGCCGCGUGUGUGAAGAAGGCCUUCGGGUUGUAAAGCACUUUCAGUCGUGAGGAAGGUGGUAGNGUUAAUAGC
rnacentral:rRNA from 1 species